AGCAUAGGAAACAAACUGUGACCAACACUUCUGAUAUUCUCUUUUAAACAGAUUUUUCCAUAUUGAUUUGUAUGAAUGAAUGGGAAAUAUAAGUCCUAAGAAACCAUCUAAAGUAGAAAUUGUGCAUAUUUCUUUUGAAAGUUCUGAUUGAUGACCAAUUUUUCUUUUUGAUCUAUGAUUACAUUUGGAUAGAAAUCGCAUAUUUGAGAUAUUUAUAAUUCUAACCUUGAUCUACAAAGCCAUCACUGAUUUCUCUGAUCUCUUAAGAUUCAAUUGAAUUUUGCUUAUAGGAGAAUUGUGUGUACCGUGUACAUAUAAUAAAGGACGAGCUUUUGCAAUGGAGAUAUCUGCCCAACCAGCUAAGUACUAUGCUAAGAGCCGGGAAAUUUUUUAUGUUCUUCUCAUCGUAUUGAGUGUUGCUAUGGGAGGCAUUAUCUAUGGUUACGACUCAGGUAUGGUUUUAACCUGUUGAUGAGGAAUUGGACUAGAGGGGAAGUGCAACACAAUUUAAUUGUAAAUU
rnacentral:lncRNA from 1 species